UCGUACCUAUGUCUCCAGAACCGAUACGUAACAGCUCUAUCACCUGCGCCACAGAGGCACCAGCUAGGGAAUGGUGAGAGGUUAUAAUUGACUUUACAGUUCACUUGAAAUUGAUUAUUGUCAAAUAUUUUGAUUCCAGGGAGAGCAAUCUUGGCGUGAGUUGAACCCACGAGGAGCACGUGUCUCAAGAAUUGGUCACCGAUGGUGUCAUUGGUGGGACUAGAACCCAGGUCUGCAGUGCUUAUGAAGAACUUCUGAGAUUCACAGACUGUGUGUCUCGGUGGCGCAAUGGAGAAAGACGCCGUCUGCUGAUGAAAAAUCAUCAACCUCAUCUGAGAUCUGGUGACCUGGGUUCAAGUCCUGAGUAUGUCUAUAAAAUAUUUGUUUUUUUACACUUUUACAUAACAAGAGGUGCCUCGGCAGGUGAGCUGUUUCCUAUCUGUUCUGGGGACAUGGGGUUGUUUCCUGCCAUGGGCAGUUUGUGGGAAAAACUGUCUAGUGAAGAGAUCCAUUCGCUCACACAUUAAUUUUGAAUGACUGUCUGGGAGAUUGGAUGACUGUGAAUGAGUGCACUCACUCCCAGCCAUCCAUUCUCCCAGACAGUCAUUCC